rnacentral:rRNA from 1 species
GAGUUUGAUCCUGGCUCAGAUUGAACGCUGGCGGCAUGCCUUACACAUGCAAGUCGAACGGCAGCACGGGGACAACCCUGGUGGCGAGUGGCGAACGGGUGAGUAAUACAUCGGAACGUGUCCUGUAGUGGGGGAUAGCCCGGCGAAAGCCGGAUUAAUACCGCAUACGAUCUGUGGAUGAAAGCGGGGGAUCCUUCGGGACCUCGCGCUACAGGGGCGGCCGAUGGCAGAUUAGCUAGUUGGUGGGGUAAAGGCCUACCAAGGCGACGAUCUGUAGCUGGUCUGAGAGGACGACCAGCCACACUGGGACUGAGACACGGCCCAGACUCCUACGGGAGGCAGCAGUGGGGAAUUUUGGACAAUGGGCGAAAGCCUGAUCCAGCAAUGCCGCGUGUGUGAAGAAGACCUUCGGGUUGUAAAGCACUUUUGUCCGGAAAGAAAACCUCGUGGUUAAUACCCGUGGGGGAUGACGGUACCGGAAGAAUAAGCACCGGCUAACUACGUGCCAGCAGCCGCGGUAAUACG